AACCAAACAGCAGUCACAAUGUGAGAUUUUAAUCCAAUAUUCAGGACACUGCCAGAACGCCGACCGUCUCUGACCGCAGCGGCACUAAAUUAUGUCACAUCAUGCAUUCCAAGACCAGCGAUCCAAAGAAAAGCUUUUACCGUGAGCGAUUCUGUCAGCAACAGCAAGAUUGUGCCGAGUGUAGGAGCAGCUUUAAUAGGUGUGAUUUACAUCAUUUAAAUCUCAGUGUGAGCAGAACCAAAGAGAUAAUUACUGACUUGAGGAGGAAAAGAAAGGUGGGAACUCCAUUUGUCAUCAAAUCAAGGAACAGAAGGACUGUGAUAGCUCAGCGGUAAAGAAACUGAACUACUAAUCUGAAGGUUACUGGUUUAAGCCACAUCACUACCAGGUUUAUGUGAGCAAGGUCCUUAACCCUGAAGUCCUUGGAUUGUCUACAUACCUUGGAUGAAAGCCACUAAUUGCAUGAAAUGCAAAAUGCUUUUCGAGACCAAAUCACAUAAAUACUCUGCAUAGCUGGUUUGAGGACAGUGCCGAGCUGGAGCGGACACUUUCAGGGCAAGACUAAACAAUAGAAGUCAAGUUUGGAUGGGGGUGGUGAACACAACACCGCUGUUCCUCAUUUUUCACUCGUCUCUCUUUGCCAAAGCUCAUAAUCACACUGUGAUGCUGCUGUCAGCAGACGCUUGUGGGUGCCCAGGUGGCGCCGUGGGAUAUUCCGCUAACACACCAGCACAGAGGUUCUGAACUCCUUGGUUUAAAACUCGUCUGGGCGCCAUCUAGCAGCAGCCAUAAUGGCAGGAUGACCGGACUAUGUGGGUGGGGUCUUCAAAGGACCCUGUAAGGACCCUGAUUAGCAGAUAAAGAGGCGUCUGUGCAGAGUGCAUAGGUGAAAAAGGGUUCCGC